AAGUCUUUAGGGGAGAAUAGCAUAACUCAUUUCGCCAAAUUCAUUUAAAAUCAUUAAAACCUUGGCUUUCCGAUUUGAGUAAUAAAAUAGGAUCUAAGCCAAACCGAGUCACGUAAUCAUUUACUUCUUUCAAAGCCGUUUCCUUUACUUAGGCAAAACCAGCUUCAACCCCCAUGAUAAAUUCUAAAGCGUUUCAACUGUUCAAAAUUGUUUUAGUCUUGCAAAAGUUCAGAGUUCAAAGAGUACUUAAAACCUUUCUCAAAACAUUUCAAAAUAAAACUUGUCAAUAGACAUUCAGGUUCUUUCAAAGUCGUUGAAACUUCUUUAAUUGAAACCCCCAAGUCAAAUUCAAAGGCUUAAACCCUUUUCGCAUUCAAACAGCUUUAAAACACAAGUUUUAUCUAAAUAACUUUCUCUUGAAAGAGAUACAAUGCCUUUCUUAAGAAGCAAGACUAAAUCACAAUUUCCUCUUUACUAACUCAUUUCGAAAGCAUGAAUCAUCCUUUUCUUGAUAAUUCAAAUAAAAUAGCAGAAGUCUUUAACUCAUCAUUUUCCAGACAACAUUUCAAUAAAGACUCGGAUUUUAUAGAAAUUUCGGCAGCACCUCCCCUAAAACUUGGACUUUUGCCACCCGGUUCGGGUCCCAACUAAACCGUUUCUCAUUCCUUUUCAACAGCUCAAAACCAGAAAUCAAUUCAAAAGCAAGAUAAAUCCAA
rnacentral:lncRNA from 1 species